rnacentral:rRNA from 1 species
GACGAACGCUGGCGGCGUGCUUAACACAUGCAAGUCGAACGGACAGGCCCUGCUUUUGUGGGGUGCUCGAGUGGCGAACGGGUGAGUAACACGUGAGUAACCUGCCCUUGACUUUGGGAUAACUUCAGGAAACUGGGGCUAAUACCGGAUAGGAGCUCCUGCUGCAUGGUGGGGGUUGGAAAGUUUCGGCGGUUGGGGAUGGACUCGCGGCUUAUCAGCUUGUUGGUGGGGUAGUGGCUUACCAAGCCUUUGACGGGUAGCCGGCCUGAGAGGGUGACCGGCCACAUUGGGACUGAGAUACGGCCCAGACGCCUACGGGAGGCAGCAGGGGGGAAUAUGGCACAAUGGGCGGAAGCCUGAUGCAGCAACGCCGCGUGCGGGAUGACGGCCUUCGGGGUGUAAACCGCUUUCGCCGGUGACGAAGCGUGAGUGACGGUAAUGGGUAAAGAAGCACCGGCUAACUACGUG